rnacentral:rRNA from 1 species
GUGGGGAAUAUUGGACAAUGGGCGCAAGCCUGAUCCAGCCAUACCGCGUGGGUGAAGAAGGCCUUCGGGUUGUAAAGCCCUUUUGUUGGGAAAGAAAUCCUGUCGGUUAAUACCUGGCGGGGAUGACGGUACCCAAAGAAUAAGCACCGGCUAACUUCGUGCCAGCAGCCGCGGUAAUACGAAGGGUGCAAGCGUUACUCGGAAUUACUGGGCGUAAAGCGUGCGUAGGGUGUGGUUUAAGUCCGUUGUGAAAGCCCUGGGCUCAACCUGGGAAUUGCAGUGGAUACUGGAUCACUAGAGUGUGGUAGAGGGAUGCGGAAUUUCUGGUGUAGCAGUGAAAUGCGUAGAGAUCAGAAGGAACAUCCGUGGCGAAGGCGGCAUCCUGGGCCAACACUGACACUGAGGCACGAAAGCGUGGGGAGCAAACAGGAUUAGAAACCCCUGUAGUCC